AAGCCGUAUCGUUGUGAGGAUGGCUUGGGUAAGGGCAGUGUGGCAAGAGAAGACAAGGCAAGAGGAAGGGACGGUGCCGGACAGCUGGGUGGACCCAAAGAACAUGUUAUUGUACUGGCCAAAUGUUGCAAAUGCAACAAGAUAUUUGAAGGAACGACGGCCACCAUCUGAUAGUUGGAGAAAGUUUCCACUUGUGAAAGAGAAGAUGAGAUCUGAUUACUUUAAAGAGUGUGACAACUGUGAACUCACAAGUAGUACAGAAGCUGAAGAAGGUUCACUGGAAGCAAAAAGAAGAAAAAUAUCGAAGAAAUUUGAAGACUGCUUGACAGAUCAUAGUUGUGACACUGAUCCACAAUUCGAAGAAGAAGAUAACCUUGGAAAUCGUCAGCUUCCUAACAGUAAUGAAGAGCUAGAACUUCCUGUUGCUCCAAGGAAGGUGUGCAAGCUCUCCAAUGCAAGCUCUACAUCUUCUGUUUCAUCCAGGGGAUCAAGCUCUGGCUCUCCAUUGCCACUUCAAAAAAAGCAGACUUCAACAGCACAGGCCCCUGUGCAAACUAAGGAGGCCACAUCAAAAAACCAGACCAGACAACAUUCUGAUGGAGAACCGUCUUCACAAGAAAUCAGACAAUCUGGGUCACCUGUUGAUCGACAGUCCAGCAGCUCCAAACAAGAUGAAAAACGCUCCCCAUACCCAAUGCAAGAAGCAAAAUUCCAGAGAAAAGUAAUGGAGAUGCUUGUUGAAAUCCGUGAAGACAUCCGCACAUUAAAAGAAAAAGUGUGGGGGGAUGCAGGAAAUGCAUACUGUCUCAAAGAUUCCUGCCCAGUCCUCAACUGUUGA
ensembl:lncRNA